GAGUUAUCUGAACCUUCGGGGAACGAUAACGGCGUCGAGCGGCGGACGGGUGAGUAAUGCCUAGGAAAUUGCCCUGAUGUGGGGGAUAACCAUUGGAAACGAUGGCUAAUACCGCAUGAUGCCUACGGGCCAAAGAGGGGGACCUUCGGGCCUCUCGCGUCAGGAUAUGCCUAGGUGGGAUUAGCUAGUUGGUGAGGUAAGGGCUCACCAAGGCGACGAUCCCUAGCUGGUCUGAGAGGAUGAUCAGCCACACUGGAACUGAGACACGGUCCAGACUCCUACGGGAGGCAGCAGUGGGGAAUAUUGCACAAUGGGCGCAAGCCUGAUGCAGCCAUGCCGCGUGUGUGAAGAAGGCCUUCGGGUUGUAAAGCACUUUCAGUCGUGAGGAAGGUAGUGUAGUUAAUAGCUGCAUUAUUUGACGUUAGCGACAGAAGAAGCACCGGCUAACUCCGUGCCAGCAGCCGCGGUAAUACGGAGGGUGCGAGCGUUAAUCGGAAUUACUGGGCGUAAAGCGCAUGCAGGUGGUUUGUUAAGUCAGAUGUGAAAGCCCGGGGCUCAACCUCGGAAUUGCAUUUGAAACUGGCAGACUAGAGUACUGUAGAGGGGGGUAGAAUUUCAGGUGUAGCGGUGAAAUGCGUAGAGAUCUGAAGGAAUACCGGUGGCGAAGGCGGCCCCCUGGACAGAUACUGACACUCAGAUGCGAAAGCGUGGGGAGCAAACAGGAUUAGAUACCCUGGUAGUCCACGCCGUAAACGAUGUCUACUUGGAGGUUGUGGCCUUGAGCCGUGGCUUUCGGAGCUAACGCGUUAAGUAGACCGCCUGGGGAGUACGGUCGCAAGAUUAAAACUCAAAUGAAUUGACGGGGGCCCGCACAAGCGGUGGAGCAUGUGGUUUAAUUCGAUGCAACGCGAAGAACCUUACCUACUCUUGACAUCCAGAGAACUUUCCAGAGAUGGAUUGGUGCCUUCGGGAACUCUGAGACAGGUGCUGCAUGGCUGUCGUCAGCUCGUGUUGUGAAAUGUUGGGUUAAGUCCCGCAACGAGCGCAACCCUUAUCCUUGUUUGCCAGCGAGUAAUGUCGGGAACUCCAGGGAGACUGCCGGUGAUAAACCGGAGGAAGGUGGGGACGACGUCAAGUCAUCAUGGCCCUUACGAGUAGGGCUACACACGUGCUACAAUGGCGCAUACAGAGGGCAGCCAACUUGCGAAAGUGAGCGAAUCCCAAAAAGUGCGUCGUAGUCCGGAUUGGAGUCUGCAACUCGACUCCAUGAAGUCGGAAUCGCUAGUAAUC
rnacentral:rRNA from 1 species